AGCAGACCCUUUAUUUUCUUCCCCAUUUACCUCUUUUUUUCCCUUCUCAUUUACUGUCCUUACCUUUGCUCUGUAUUUCAUUUUCUGCAAAAAAACCCCAGCAUCAUCAUCUUCAUAUAAGCAAAUCAGGCCAAAGUAAAGUUCGGGAGUGUCCUUUUUUGACACGCUUCAGGGUGUGUCCGGCAUGUAUCCGUUCGUGUCGGCGGCGUGUCCGUGUCGGACACCAGUACGACACUGGUACGAGGGGAUUUUCUCGUAUCGGUGCUUCCUAAAUGAAACUCAAUAUGGCGACAGUUGAUCAAGUGCACCCUCUGUUGCCUGACCUCGUAACAUCACUUGAUAAGCUUGGUAUUUUGCCACCUGAUUGCGAAGGGAAGACAAAGAUGAAGGAAUGGGUUUCAAGGUUGUCGAACAUGGAGGUAGCUUUAUGAUUUGGAAUCUUCAUAUGAUUCAUUUAUGGCUGCUUUGCCCAUUGUUGGUAUUUGGAAGUGAUCUAACAUACAUUUUUUUUAUUAUAUAUUUUUAAGUGUUGCUAA